CCAUCUUUCGGUCACUAUGACUUAUUACAGUUUGUCACGGCUUGUCAUUCGGAACGUGAAUGUGAAUGCUCCGCGAUUAACCGUGAUUAAUCGCGAUUAACUGCGAUUUACUUCGUCAAAGUGCAUAAUAAAUGCGAGUUUUUAUCGGGAGUAUCAACUAAAGUAACGGGCAAUUGUCAGAAUGUCUCACUUUUCGCGUACGUGACGCGAACAAUUUACCGGUAUUUCAUCAACCGCUUUGACGCGGGAAAGCAAAUUCAAAUUGCUGCAGUUUAGUAAGUACAAAUUUUCAUGCAACGGGCACGCGAAAAUGACCACUACGUCCGCUUAAAACAAUUAAAGCGCCAUAUUGAAAAAUUAGUUUAACGGAAUUAUAUCGGAUAAAACGUUGUCGCGUACGUGUCCGUAUCCGUUGGUUUUUGUGCGAUCGCCAAAAUAGUCUCGCUCUGAGUGCGCAUACAGUGUCGACCGUUACAUGUUGUGAUAUUCUGUACUAUAAAUAUGUGCGUGAACGCGACGCGGUGCGGAAUGAGUUUUAUAUAUCUCGCGUUUGCAUUUCGUAUACCACAGUGAAUUUACGGUUUUCGACGUUGUUUUGAAAGUGAAGUGCGCGAGUGUUACAAAGUGCGAGAGGAUUUCCAGAAAACAUUCAUCCAUUCUUCGUUAGAGCUGAUGCAAUCUGAAUAUGAACAGACCACGGCAGAAACUGCAGCGGCUGGAGCAGACUACAAUACCCUAGCUGGUGCAGCCGGAGAGCGUACUUAGCUAGGGUACAACACUGCGUUUUAUGCGAUGCUGAAACGCGCCAGUUAUCAAGAAACGUUCUACUACCGGCAGAGGCUAUCGCAAGGGACAGCCGGAUGUUUACGACAGAAGACACUUAUGGGAAGUACUUUCGAGCUCAUUGAAAUACAUAGUGUCCUUGGACUUCUGCAAAAUCACCUUUAAAUCAUAAAUUCUUCGAGACCAACUUUCUUGCAGCGAAGGUAAGUCGUUCUUUACUGCAAGCUUGCAAUUUUUAAUGUCAAAAAUCUUUAGCAAAUUAGAAAUUUUUUCAAAAAACUGAUUUUAAAUCGACUUCGCACAUAAAGAUUUAUAGAUAAAUGAUGAUAUAGUAAAUCUAGGACACUCCGUAUAUCUCUUGAUUAUGCGACGUGCUUAAACAAGUAUGUGCGUCCAUCUCAAUUCACAUUCGUGAAUGUGGAAUCUUCUUAAAUCGAUAAGCAUACGCGAAAAGAUUUAUAUUUGUAGGGCGGUUGGGUUUUUGAAACCGAAAUAAACUCGUUGAUUACAAAAGGAAGACAGGUCGCGAGGUCAUCUUGCUAUCUAAUCAUACUGGAUAAAAACUGUUCUGGUUACCAGAGAAAUGAAUGGGACAAACGAUGUUUCAUUCAUCUAAGAGAAAAAGAAUUUUGUUACGCUGUUCUUCUACAUGCGGAAUACAUAAUGUUAAAACAAUGUUAACA